UGUGGAUUGGCUGUCAUCUGAUGUUACUUCUGUUUGAUUGGUUGUUGAUUGGGCACCUGAUGGGCCUGCUUGGUUGCUGUCUGUAGUGGGCACAGUUGGAUUGUUCUGACCAAGACCCAGGGCAGUCCUCACAGUGUUCACCACUAGAGAAGGAAAGAGAGACAACUCUGCCCAUUGCAAAAGAAGUUCAAAGACUCAAGUAAAAAAUAUGCUAUUGAUAAAAUGAGAACCAUACCAAUUUCCGAACAAACCGCCCCCAUAGGUUGGAACGACUGUGUUGAGUGGAGUGAAUACUACAGGAUUAGAGGAUCUACA